ACCGCGAACUUCUAAACCUUUGACGAUUGACUCAUGUUGCCUCGGCGGGUUCUCCCGCCAGAGGAUACAUCAAAACUCCUGUUUUAACGGUGUUGUCUGAGCUACAAGCAACGAAUCAAAACUUUCAACAACGGAUCUCUUGGUUCUGGCAUCGAUGAAGAACGCAGCGAAAUGCGAUAAGUAGUGUGAAUUGCAGAAUUCAGUGAAUCAUCGAAUCUUUGAACGCACAUUGCGCCCCUUGGUAUCCCGAGGGGCAUGCCUGUUCGAGCGUCAUUUCACCACUCAAGCCUGGCUUGGUGUUGGGCGACGUCCCCUUUAGGGACGCGCCUCGAAACGCUCGGCGGCGUGGCACCGGCUUUAAGCGUAGCAGAAUCUUUCGCUUUGAAAGUCGGGGCCCCGUCUGCCGGAAGACCUACUCGCAAG
rnacentral:rRNA from 1 species